rnacentral:rRNA from 1 species
AGUGGCGAACGGGUGAGUAACACGUGAGCAAUCUGCCCUUGACUCUGGGAUAACUGCGGGAAACUGUAGCUAAUACCGGAUACGACACCUUGGGGCAUCCCAGGGUGUGGAAAGAAUUUCGGUCAAGGAUGAGCUCGCGGCCUAUCAGCUAGUUGGUGAGGUAAUGGCUCACCAAGGCGACGACGGGUAGCCGGCCUGAGAGGGUGACCGGCCACACUGGAACUGAGACACGGUCCAGACUCCUACGGGAGGCAGCAGUGGGGAAUAUUGCACAAUGGGCGAAAGCCUGAUGCAGCAACGCCGCGUGAGGGAUGAAGGCCUUCGGGUUGUAAACCUCUUUUAGCAGGGAAGAAGCGAAAGUGACGGUACCUGCAGAAAAAGCACCGGCUAACUACGUGCCAGCAGCCGCGGUAAUACGUAGGGUGCAAGCGUUGUCCGGAAUUAUUGGGCGUAAAGAGCUCGUAGGCGGUUUGUCGCGUCUGCUGUGAAAAUCCGAGGCUCAACCUCGGACCUGCAGUGGGUACGGGCAAGCUAGAGUGCGGUAGGGGAGAUGGGAAUUCCUGGUGUAGCGGUGGAAUGCGCAGAUAUCAGGAGGAACACCAAUGGCGAAGGCACAUCUCUGGGCCGUAACUGACGCUGAGGAGCGAAAGCGUGGGGAGCAAACAGGAUUAGAUACCCUGGUAGUCCACGCCGUAAACGGUGGGUGCUAGU